rnacentral:rRNA from 1 species
GAAGGGCGUUUGGUGGAUGCCUUGGCAGUAAGAGGCGAUGAAAGACGUGAUACUCUGCGAUAAGCCAUGGGGAGCUGAGAAUAAGCUUUGAUCCAUGGAUCUCUGAAUGGGGGAACCCACCUGAAAGUUCUCUAUUACUACUUCGGUAGCUAAUAGGGUUCUUAACCAGGUACUUUUGACCUGAAUACAUAGGGUCUUAAGAGCAAACCCGGGGAACUGAAACAUCUAAGUACCCGGAGGAAAGGAAAUCAAUUGAUACUCCCCUAGUAGCGGCGAGCGAACGGGGACCAGCCAAGCCUGAUGAGUGACUAGAACCGUUUGGGAAGACGGGCCAUAGUGGGUGACAGCCCCGUAUAGGAAGCUCUGAAGGAUGUAUUAAGUAGGGCGGGACACGUGAAAUCCUGUCUGAAGAUCGGAGGACCACCUUCGAAGGCUAAGUACUCCUUACUGACCGAUAGCGAACCAGUACCGUGAGGGAAAGGUGAAAAGCACCCCGACGAGGGGAGUGAAACAGUACCUGAAACCGAACGCCUACAAUCAGUUGGAGGCCCCUUGAGGGCUGACAGCGUACCUUUUGUAUAAUGGGUCAUCGACUUGGUCUAUCUAGCAAGCUUAAGCCGUUAGGUGUAGGCGCAGCGAAAGCGAGUCUUAAUAGGGCGCAUGAGUUAGAUGGAUCAGACCCGAAACCGAGUGAUCUAGGCAUGGCCAGGUUGAAGGUGCGGUAACACGCACUGGAGGACCGAACCCACAUCUGUUGAAAAAGAUCGGGAUGAGCUGUGCCUAGGGGUGAAAGGCCAAUCAAACUCGGAGAUAGCUGGUUCUCUGCGAAAUCUAUUUAGGUAGAGCGUCAUCUGAAUACCCCGGGGGGUAGAGCACUGGAUGGGUAAUGGGGCCCCACAGGCUUACUGAUCCUAACCAAACUCCGAAUACCCGGGAGUACUAGAUGGCAGACACACUGCGGAUGCUAACGUCCGUAGUGGAGAGGGAAACAACCCUGACCUACGACUAAGGCCCCUAAUUCAUGGCUAAGUGGGAAAGCAGGUGGGACGACCAAAACAACCAGGAGGUUGGCUUAGAAGCAGCCAUCCUUUAAAGAUAGCGUAACAGCUCACUGGUCUAAAUAAGUUGUCCUGCGGCGAAGAUGUAACGGGGCUCAAGCCAUGAGCCGAAGUCUAGGAUGCACAUAGUGCAUGGUAGCAGAGCGUAGUGUGACAUAGUACUCAUCCUCUUCUAUCGCGUUGUUAUGCGAGCGUUUAGCGCGCUCAAGUAGCGAAGCGGUAGCGCAGGAUAGAGUGCUUUCGAUGAAGCGGGCGCGUGAGCGAUCCCGUGGAGAGAUCACUAGUGAGAAUGAUGACAUGAGUAGCGACAAAGAGUGUGAGAGACACUCUCGCCGAAAGUCCAAGGGUUCCUGCUUAAAGCUAAUCUGAGCAGGGUAAGCCGGCCCCUAAGCCGAGGCCGAAAGGCGUAGGCGAUGGGAACUAGGUUAAUAUUCCUAGGCCAGGAGGAU